GAACGAGAAAGCGGGGGCAACCCCGUGAGUAAAGUGGCGUACGGGUGAGUAACACGUAGCUAACCUACCCUUGAGUGGGGGAUAACCUGGGGAAACUCGGGCUAAUACCGCAUAGUAUUCCGAUGGCUGACGCUGUUGGGAGCAAAGGCCCGCAAGGGCCGCUCGAGGAGGGGGCUGCGGCCGAUUAGCUAGUUGGUGAGGUAAUGGCCCACCAAGACGAUGAUCUGUAUCCGGCCUGAGAGGGCGCACGGACACACUGGAACUGAAACACGGUCCAGACUCCUACGGGAGGCAGCAGUGGGGAAUUUUGCGCAAUGGGGGAAACCCUGACGCAGCAACGCCGCGUGGAGGAUGAAGUCCCUUGGGACGUAAACUCCUUUCGACCGGGACGAUUAUGACGGUACCGGAUGAAGAAGCCCCGGCUAACUUCGUGCCAGCAGCCGCGGUAAUACGAAGGGGGCGAGCGUUGUUCGGAAUUAUUGGGCGUAAAGGGUGCG
rnacentral:rRNA from 1 species